CCUGAUGGCUGAAAGAGGAAGAUAUCAAUGAUAUCAAAGUCAGUUUCUUAAAAUUACUUAAAUAACUUUGAGGAUUCUGUUCUGUGGAGCAAUGAGUAAAACAUGACAUUUUGCAGCCUGUGACUCAGUGGUCUGUCUGGAGGAAGAAGAAUGAAGCAUAUGCUGAAAAUAACCCAAUUCCCACAGUGAUGGCUCAGAUAUGCUGUGGACCUUUUUUGCUUCCUCCAGCACUGGAAGCUUGCAGGGUAAAAUGGAUUAAGUCAGGUCUCAGGAAAUCCUGGGAUGAAAAGUCAUGCUGUCAGGACAAUGAUUCCAGGCCUAUUUCAAAGUCCACUAAGGCCUGACAACACUGGAGUGGCCUUAGUAGUCCUUGAAGUAGACUUGAACUCUAUUAUAUAUCUCUGAGGGGAUUUGAAAUGCAGUUGAAACAGGCAAACCCAAGAUAAUUGAUGAACUGUAUCAAGCUUUUUUCCAUCAAUUACAUCAAAAGAAAACAACACUGAAUACAACUCCAGAACAACUCCUUUAUUUUGGAAAAAACCAAAUUUUUAAGUCACUUGUUUUGAAUGAAAUAUGCGGAUUUCAGGUAUUUUUUUUUCCCCUUUUCUUAUAAAUUCAGUGGUAUAUUAAGCAUGCAAUACCGCAUUAGCUGCUUAAGUUUUCAUUUUCCACAGAAAAAAACAGAAAACAACACAAAGUUCCCUCAAUAGUCCAGAUGAAGCUGCUUGGAAAAGGGUGGUUUGGAGAAGCCACAGCAUGAAGCGAUGUACACAGUUUGCGGUUGCAUAGUACACUACAUGAAGUUCCUCAUUUUUAAAACAGCAUGCCGCUUUGUAUUGCACAUUACUGAAACUUUGUAUACUGAACCUCGCUGUUGUCCCAGGUGGCUUUAGUCUCAUCUUAGCACAUGAAUACAACAAAUAGCAUCUCUCAGAGACAUUAUGUACAUUUAUUUGUUAUAAAAAUAAUCGCCAGGAAAUAUUCAUACUUCAUCACUUUUCUACUGGAAUAGACGGUUGCUCUUUUGCGUCUUUUGUUUUUCUGAAGGAAACAUCUUCCCCGUGUAUUCUAUAGGUUUGUCUGUUUCUGUCCAAAAGCAAAGUUCAUAAAGAAGUUUGAGACCGAAAAAUUGUUCAGAAAUGUCUGUGAAAAAGUGUGGCAUUAUUUUUGUAAUAAUCUAUUCCUUUGAGUGUAAAUCGGCAUAAAUGAUCCAUCGCUAAGCGUGUUACAAAGAGAGGGACGGCAGAGCUCUGGUCUGGAAAUCCCUCCUGAUUGUCUCAAGGAGCCCCGCUCAACCCUGAUUGGUUGGAUUUUCUAAUAAUGAAUCAGUCAAUGAGAUUUUGAUGCCAUUAUGCAUUAAUAACAUGCAAACUGAUUGCAUAUAGCGGCGGUAUUUUCAUUCAAUGGUGUGCAAAAAAAAAAAGUAAAAAGGAGAUUAGGGCAAAUAAAAUCAGCCUCUGCCCUUGUACAUGCUUCAGCUUACCAUACUUUUCCAGCUUUUUCUUUGUGCAAUGGGCAAUUCUAAGCUUAAUAAUACAAGAGCAUUAUAACCAGAAACAUUCAAUUGUUUAAACAAAACUGAAUAUCAUUAAAGCCCAAUAAAGUGUUGCUGCUUAACCUUAAAAAUAAAUCACUUAACCAACUUUUUUUAUACCAAAAAGUUUGUUUGAUGACGUGAUGCACUCACUACAGCUUCCCUCUGCUGCCAUCUAGUGGUCAAGUGCUCAAGCACAUGUUUUUGCCGCUGCUACGUUACAGUGUAGUGUAGUGUAGGAACUUAAAGGGAUACAUCAAAAUCUUUGAAAUGAGUUUUUUUUUUUUUAAGAUUAUAAGCAAAGAUAAUAUCUUACAUGCAGUAGAUUGACUGAGGUCAAGACCAAAGUAGGCUAUUAAUUUCCAAAACAAAAACAAAACAAACAAAAAAACUGUUUGUGCAAACAGUAUUCAUGUGACUUUAAAUCUUAUUUUACUUGCUUUGCGCGCAACGAACCCUUAACCGAUAGGGCCCGGUAGUGGCCGGGUUAAACUAUUUUUGAGCAUCUUCUGUUUAACAAGACCGGGAGAGGGAAGUGGUGCAGCCCAAAAAAAUACAGUCUUACGAAUUUCACGGCCACAUUCUGUCCUUUAAUCUAUCAUUAUGUCUAAACAGCCAAUCAAAAUCAACAAUCACAUCAUUUAAGAAGUAUAUUGGGCGGCAGAGUCACGUGUCUUGUUUCCAAGGUUCACUUCAAACCCAACUGCUAGUUUGCAACUUUUUUCUUUGCUAAUUAGCUUUUGGUUACAAACGGAACAGAAAAAAUUUUAAGUAUUUCUGGACAGUUUCUUUGUUUGUACUUUUUGGAAAAAUUUUCCCUUUUAAAGUCCCGUUAUUGGUCGCGGUUGACAGGGGGACAAUACAUAACAAUACAGAAAAUGUUGAAGUUUGACGUUCAGCAGAUGGUUGGGAAGCGACUCUAACCAGCAGUCCUUUAGCAGGUUGACAGCAGUGGGGCCGGUCUGCUGCAUGUCCGAGUUCGCUGAUAGUGGCCGCCUCCACAGCUGGAUGAGCACUGGGACCAGGCAGUCCAGCACGACCAGGCUCCACUCACUGUGAAGCACACAUAUAAUAAAAUAUUGAUUUAGUGUGCUGUGGUGCUGAAGCUAGAGUGACUAAAGUGUGCUGUUACCUGGGCAGGGGUGAGUGUUACAGUCCUGAUAUUCCACUGGGGAUCCAGCACAAGCUGCCAGGCUCCGGUGAAACACAUUGAGAGCCAUUAUCCACAUAUGGAGAAACCGGUGGUGAAUCUUCCCAGGAGUGGCGGGCCAACCAAAAUUACUCCGAAAGGGCAUUCAUGACUUGCCCAAAAGAAUCCAGAACAUCUAAAGCUCUGCAGGCCUCAUUUGGUUCAGUUUACAGAAAGGGUGAAGAAGAAUGAUUGUGUCUGACUCCAUAAACACAUCGGGAGAAGAUUUUCUAUGAUAAUGAAUC